AACCCUUGUCAUUAGUUGCCAUCAUUUGGUUGGGCACUCUAAUGAGACUGCCGGUGACAAACCGGAGGAAGGUGGGGAUGACGUCAAGUCCUCAUCGGCCCUUAGUGGGUAGGGCUUCACACGUCAUACAAUGGUCGGUACAGGAGGGUUGCCAACCCGCGAGGGGGAGCUAAUCCCACAAAGCCGAUCGUAGUCCGGAUCGCAGUCUGCAACUCGACUGCGUGAAGUCGGAAUCGCUAGUAAUCGUGGAUCAGCAUGUCACGGUGAAUACGUUCCCGGGUCUU
rnacentral:rRNA from 1 species